UCGCUUUACUGAGUGAACUUUGUGGCGCAUUCUUCUAUUUGGUUGGUGUGUUUGUGCUCUUAAUUGAGUGCAUCAUUCUACCAGAAAUUUUACCUUGAAAAAAUUAGAGUGUUCAAAGCAGACCUUUUUGUGUCUGAAUAAUUCGUGCAUGGAAUAAUAAAAUAUGAAUUCGGUUCUAUUUUAUUGGUUUUCGGAACUCGAGUUAAUGAUUAAGAGGGACAGACGGGGGCAUCCGUACUCUGCCGUUAGAGGUGAAAUUCUUGGAUCGGCGGAAGACGCGCAACUGCGAAAGCAUUUGCCAAGAAUGUUUUCUUUAAUCAAGAACGAUAGUCGGAGGUUCGAAGACGAUCAGAUACCGUCCUAGUUUCGACUGUAAACUAUGCCAGCUAACGAUCAGACAGCGUUCUCUACGACUUGUCUGGCAGUUUCCGGGAAACCAAAGCUUUUGGGUUCCGGGGGGAGUAUGGUUGCAAAGCUGAAACUUAAAGGAAUUGACGGAAGGGCACCACCAGGAGU
rnacentral:rRNA from 1 species